GUGGAUUAGAUACCCGGGUAGUCCUAGCCGUAAACUCUGAGAACUUGAUUGAAGGGUCCUCCAUAGCCUUUCAGUCGUAGCGAAAGUGUUAAGUUCUCCGCCUGGGGAGUAUGGUCGCAAGGCUGAAACUCAAAGAAAUUGACGGGGGCUCACACAAGCGGUGGAGGAUGUGGCUUAAUUCGAGGCUACGCGAAGAACCUUAUCCUAGUCUUGACAUGCAUUUCUAAGUCGGUGAAAGCCGGCGACCGUAGCAAUACGGAACUUGCACAGGUGCUGCACGGCCGUCGUCAACU
rnacentral:rRNA from 1 species